ensembl:lncRNA MIR4300HG MIR4300 host gene
GCCAUGGGACGAUACCUAGAGAAAAAGGCUGUCUGUAAACCAGGAAGAUAAACCUCGCCAGAUACUGAAUAUCCUGGUGCCUUGAUCUUCAAUUUUCUAGCUUCCAGAACUGUUACAUCUCAAGGAGAAGGAUUGCCAGAUCAAAAGUCUUGCAGUUAACCAGGCGUGGUGGCAGAUACCUGUAAUCCCAGCUAUUCGGGAGGCUGAGGCAGGAGAAUCGCUUGUACCCGGGAGGCAGAGGUUGCAGUGAGCUGAGACCGCGCCAUUGACUCCUGCCUGAUGACAAGAGAGAAUCUACGUCUCAACAACAACAACACGCUUGGGCACUGUAUUAACUCCAUAAUCGCCUCUGUGCUCUUUCCCCUGUGGACAAUAACUACCAUUUCAUCCUGGACACCCAUUGUUUGCCUGGACCACACCUUGUUAUGACCAUAACCCUCAGUCAGACUCAACCUUCCUUCAAGAUCUGCAGAUCUAAAUUUUAUUGGGAACAGCUAGUUUGACAAGCAUAGACCAGAUGUCCAGUUGUCAUUCAUUCAGCAGGAGCAGCAAGAUUCAAUCAUGUUUUUAUUAUAUUAUUUCCUGAAACUUGUGGCUGUAACAAUGAAGUUUGAGGAUUGGUCUGUGUAAGUAUGGCAGAAGUGAUGUUAAGUCGCUUAUGAGAUUAGGGUAUAAAAGACUAAGGCUUCCAUGCUUCCAUCUUGGUCUCUGUCUCUCAGAGAACAGUCAUGUGAAUGAUUCUUCUUGAAAGUAAAUCUUCCAGCCCCAGUCCAGUAUUCAAAUGAUCCAGCAACAUUGCAACUUAUGAGAGACCUUGAGCCAUCCAGGUAACAUGCUUCCAAAUCCUGACCCUUAAAACCUGUAAAAUAAUAAAUGUGGUUUUAAACUCUUAAGUAAUUUGUUACAUAGUAAUAAAUAGCUAAUACACC